CUGCCUCUUUGAUAUUGAGACGGACUAGUCGGGACUUGGAGCUGAAACUCGGACCCACUUUUUCACCCCGAAACCACUUCCCGAUUUUCAUAAUUCAGACGUCCGAAAAUUCAUAAAAGCUGCUGCUCAAUUUACCACUGACCAAAGCUCCUCCCUCUCUCUCUAGGGUUGUUUCGGAUUAACGGAAUUAUACCGGCGAUCACCUUCGGAGGCGGUGUGGUUCGUCGGAGACGUCAGUGCACCGAUCAGAGAGUCUAAGAGCACCGGCAUUUACCCCUGGCGUUCUCUGUAUAUUGAAUAUUGUUUGUUUCUUCGAGAUGGGUAGCAGUUCAGACGAAGAGUCAGACUUCAGCGAUUCAGAGAUAAAUGAAUACAAAGAGAAACCUUAUGAGCUACUCAAGGCUGGCACUUAUAAAGUAAAGGGCCCAAAUGGUUCCCUUAGGUGCCCUUUUUGUGCUGGUAAGAAGAAACAAGACUAUCAGUACAAUCAUCUUCUUCAACAUGCGAUAGGGGUGGCUAAGGGCUCAGCCAGCCGAAGUGCAAAGCAGAAAGCAAACCACCUUGCACUGGCUACAUUCCUAGAAAAUGACCUAGCUAAUGAGGCUGAGCCACUACCUCAACAUACUGCACCUUUACCUGCAGCUAAGCCUGAGAAAAGUGAGUUGUAUUGUUGGCCCUGGGUCGGGAUAGUAGCUAACAUACUAAAUGAGCCAAAGAACAGCGAUUGCUUGGCUAGCCGUGGUUACUGGUUGAAUAAGUUCUCCAAAUACAAGCCUAUAGAAAUUGAAAUAUUCUGGGAUGAUCAACAACACACCGCACAAGCUGUUCUAAGAUUUGAUAAUGAUUGGACUGGGUUCAAGAAUGCGAUGGAGUUUGAGAAGUCCUUUGAAGCUAAUGGCCGAAGUAAGAAAGAAUGGAACGAUCGAAGAACCUGUCCAGGUCCAAAUAUUUAUGGUUGGUUUGCUCGUGAAGAUGAUUACAAACUGGAAGGGCCUGUUGGAGAUUAUCUUCGCAGGAAAGCAGAAUUGAAAACAAUCUCUGAUCUUAUUCAGGAAGCAACUAAAGAUAGGAACAAAGUUGUGGGUAAUUUGGUCAAUGAGCUUGAGUUGAAAAACGAAAAUUUGGAUCAAUUGCAGAUCAAGUACAAUGAAAAGACAUUGUCACUCAGUAGGAUGCUUGAAGAGAAAGACGAGCUUCACCGUUCCUUCUAUGAAGAAACAAGGAAGCUGCAACGCAUUGCUCGCGAGCACAUUAAGAGAGUUUUGGACGAACAGGAGAUGUUGAACUAUGAGCUGGAGAAUAAGAAACGAAGACUUGAUUCAUGGAAUAAAGAAUUGAACAAGCGUGAAGCAUUAACUGAACGUGAGAGACAGAAACUUGAAGAGGAGAAGGCAAAGAAUGAUUUGAGGAAUAAUGCGCUUCAAUUGGCUUCAGAGGAGCAGAGGAAAGCUGAUGAAAAUGUCCUACGGCUAGUGGAAGAACAACAAAGAGAGAAGGAAGAGGCUCUUAAAAAAGUGCUUGAAUUAGAAAGGAAUUUAGAUGAGAAGCAGAAAUUAGAACUUGAAAUUGAAGAACUUAAAGGAAAACUAGAGGUGAUGAAGCAUAUGGGAGGUGACGAUGAUGGAGUUAUUCAGCAGAAGAUAGACAAGAUGAACCAGCAGUUGGCCGAGAAAAAAGAUGAUUUGGAAGGUCUUGAAGAUUUGAAUCAGCAACUUCUCGCAAAAGAGCGCCAAAGUAAUGAUGAGCUACAGGAGGCUCGCAAAGAAUUAAUCGAGGCCUUGAAAGAUAUGCUGAGUAGCAGCCGUGUUAAUAUCGGGAUAAAGAGGAUGGGUGAAAUUGAUGAGAAAGCUUUCAAGAAUGCAUGCAAGGAAAGAUUCCCACCUGGAGAAGCUGAGAUGAAGGCUGCAGAAGUGGUCUCCUUGUGGCAAGAGAAACUGAAAAAUCCUGAAUGGCACCCAUUCCAGAUCAUCGAAGAUGAGAAGGGGAAUCAUCAGAGUUUAAUAAAGGAGGACGAUGAACUGCUACAAGGCCUUAAAGAGGAAUGGGGAGAUGCAGUGUAUGAUGCUGUUACUGUGGCCUUGAAGGAACUGCAUGAAUACAACCCAAGUGGAUGUUAUGUGGUUCCUGAGCUGUGGAACUUCAAAGAAAAUAGGAAGGCCACUCUGAAGGAAGUCAUUGCUUACAUCUUUGCUCAGUUGAAGACACUCAAACGCAAGCGAACUUGAACAGGUUUGCUAGUCUUCAUAGUUCGCGAUCGUUUAAGAGCCUACUUUUUCGGUGCAUAUGUUGCGACCAUGAGGAAUUGGAGCCCACGUUGAGCAUCAUCCGGAGUUAACUAGGUGCUACCUAAUGUUGAAUAUUGUAGCUAGGUAUUGAGUUUUUACUGGAAAUUAUGUAAUUGAAGUUUCAGAUACCAACGUACUGCCUGCAGCUAACUUUGGCAUGCUUUUCAGCAAUUAGGUUGAUGUUAUGGAUUAUAACCCCUUGAUUAUCAAGUUAACCUGGCAUCUACAUAGAUGCCUCGUUGCUUUUCCUAUUGAUAGAGCUACAAAGGUGACCAAAACCGGCUUUUACAUU